UGUCAAAGUGCAGUUCAUUUGGGAAGGCCGAAGCAAAUAUCUGUCAGGCACAAAUCAAUAUUCUCACGAUCCAAAGUAUCCUCAGGAAACUGGAUCAGUUUUAUGUACAGAUUUUCUCAGGGUCUAAGACUAAGGCAAAUUGAUAUGAUGGAUGACUCCAUUGCAGGCAGUUCAGCAACACUCAGCAAAAUGGCCAAAAAAAAUAAGAGGUGUUUGUUUGACAGRGGUGAGAAAGAUGAGAAGACAUACGGGCCAACUGAUCGGAGGACGAAGGGAGUUUGUAGUAAUUGAUGAAAGCCAUUUUCGUCACAAAAUAAAGUAUGGAAGAGGAAGAAUAGCAGG